rnacentral:rRNA from 1 species
UACGUAGGGUGCAAGCGUUGUUCGGAAUUACUGGGCGUAAAGGGCGCGUAGGCGGCGACUCAAGUUAGAUGUGAAAGUCCUGGGCUUAACCUGGGGACUGCAUUUGAUACUGGGUUGCUUGAAUUCGGGAGAGGAUAGCGGAAUUCCCAGUGUAGAGGUGAAAUUCGUAGAUAUUGGGAAGAACACCGGUGGCGAAGGCGGCUAUCUGGACCGACAUUGACGCUGAGGCGCGAAAGCGUGGGGAGCAAACAGG